AUAAAAUGCUUCAUAACUCUAAUCAUAAUAAGUAAAGGAAAAUCUUCAAAACCGAUUCCAAUAUUCAAAAUUUUCACUACAAUUUAUUAAGUAACAAAUUAUAUUUCAAGAAAUAUUAUAUAACAUUCAUAAUGUUAUAACAGUCUCAUCCUACUUAGACGCGUUAGUAAAAUAGAUUCAAUAACUCAACUUAUUUUUAAUGCAUUUUGUUCAUUUUAAAUUAUUAAUUUCAUAAUUUUAUCUCUGAACUCAAAUGUUCAUCAUGCAAUUUGGAUCUUAUACAUUUUAAUUGAUUCGACAAUAAUACUUGUUUGAUGUCAGAUCUUAUUAUAAAAAUAUUAAGUUUCUUUUUAAGGAAAAGUUAAUACCAAAUCAAUUAGAGCAUCUCCAACCCCACUCUAUUUUUCACUCUAAAAUAGAGUUUAGAGUAAAGAAUGCUCCAAUGGUACUCUAUUUCUUACUCUAUAAUAGAGUAAAAAAUAGGUUUACUCCAAAUAUAGAGUAAUUUUUUUUUUUUUGUUCAUCACUCUAUUUUCUACUCUAAAAUAGAGUAACAUUGGAGCAAACUCAUACUCUAUUAUAGAGUUACUCUAUUUUAGAGUAAAAAAUAGAGUGAACCAUUAGUAGUAGAUUAUCCUUUUGAGAUUUCUGAACACAAAUUCUAAAAAGAUCAUAUAAUCUUACUUUCUCAUAUUAAUUUUUCUCAAGAUCAUAUAUUUAAUUUCAAACAUUUAUAAUAUAAAAUUGAAAGAAUUGGUUCAAAAGUUGAGCGAUAUACACUAACCAUAAAGAAAUUCAAAUUAUCUUGUAGUUUUUUCAUAAUACGUAUACUUUUUUUUUGGAACACUAUAUAAUUAAUGGGUCAAAUCUUUGUAAAGGUUAUAUAAAAUUAAUAUAAUAAGAUAUGUGAUAUUUAAAUUCAUAAUACUUAUACUAUAUAAUUAAAAAUCUAAUGAAAUAAAAUUUCUUCUAAAUAUAAUCUGUAAAAUAAUUUAAGAUUAUAAAUUUAAAUAUCACAUAUAUUAUUAUAUUAAUUUUAUAUAACCUCUACAAAGAUCUGACCUAUUAAUUUAGAAAGAAAUCUCAAGACAAUAAACAAAUUAGAUACUACACAUGUCUUACCAGCUCCAUCGCUUGUACUUAUAAGCAUGCUCUUGCUCCCUUACUUUGUUCACACCAAGCACCAAAAGAAAAAAAAAGAGAGAGAGUAAAGUUUACAUCAUACCAACAAAAUGGCAUUAUCAAAGCUUCAAUCUGUAGGCAUACUCGUUAUAUGUUCUCUCCUACUGACUUCUCUGUCAAGAGAUGUAAGGGAGAAUGACGAGCAUCGUUCGGAUUGUGUUUACAAAGGCCCGUGUAAGAGCAAUCAAGACUGUAAGAGUCAGUGUGGUCCGCCUAACUUCCCACCAACGACUAUUGGCUUAUGUCAAGCCAGUCCUAGAGGCCACGGCAACAUUUGUUGUUGUUCCAAAGAUUAAUAUUCUCUUUCUCAAAAAAAAAAAAGAAGAUUAAUAUUCUCCCAUCAGCUAUAAUCCUAGAAUUUUUUGUACUUAUAUAUUAUUAAAUUCUAAUAAGUUCCAAUGUUUAAGCAGAAAACAAAAAAGUUUACUUCAUUUUUGGAUUUCAAAAUUCAUCUAUAUAUAUAAACUUAAUCUUAUGUAAAG